UACGAAGGGGCCUAGCGUUGCUCGGAAUCACUGGGCGUAAAGGGUGCGUAGGCGGGUCUUUUAAGUCAGGGGUGAAAUCCUGGAGCUCAACUCCAGAACUGCCUUUGAUACUGAAGAUCUUGAGUUCGGGAGAGGUGAGUGGAACUGCGAGUGUAGAGGUGAAAUUCGUAGAUAUUCGCAAGAACACCAGUGGCGAAGGCGGCUCACUGGCCCGAUACUGACGCUGAGGCACGAAAGCGUGGGGAGCAAACAGGG
rnacentral:rRNA from 1 species